UACGGAGGGUGCAAGCGUUAUCCGGAUUCACUGGGUUUAAAGGGUGCGUAGGCGGACAGGUAAGUCAGUGGUGAAAUCUCUGGGCUUAACCCAGAAACUGCCGUUGAUACUAUUUGUCUUGAAUAUCCUGGAGGUAGGCGGAAUAUGUCAUGUAGCGGUGAAAUGCUUAGAUAUGACAUAGAACACCAAUUGCGAAGGCAGCUGGCUACACAAAUAUUGACACUGAGGCACGAAAGCGUGGGGAUCAAACAGG
rnacentral:rRNA from 1 species